rnacentral:rRNA from 1 species
UACGUAGGGGGCAAGCGUUGUCCGGAUUUAUUGGGCGUAAAGAGCGUGUAGGCGGCUUUACAGGUCCGUUGUGAAAACUCGAGGCUCAACCUCGAGACGCCGGUGGAAACCGUAAAGCUAGAGUCCGGAAGAGGAGAGUGGAAUUCCUGGUGUAGCGGUGAAAUGCGCAGAUAUCAGGAGGAACACCCGUGGCGAAAGCGGCUCUCUGGGAACGGUACUGACGCUGAGACGCGAAAGCGUGGGGGAGCAAACAGG